GAUGAACGCUGGCGGCGUGCCUAAUACAUGCAAGUCGAGCGAACAGACGAGGAGCUUGCUCCUCUGACGUUAGCGGCGGACGGGUGAGUAACACGUGGAUAACCUACCUAUAAGACUGGGAUAACUUCGGGAAACCGGAGCUAAUACCGGAUAAUAUCUUGAACCGCAUGGUUCAAUAGUGAAAGACGGUUUUGCUGUCACUUAUAGAUGGAUCCGCGCCGCAUUAGCUAGUUGGGAAGGUAACGGCUUACCAAGGCAACGAUGCGUAGCCGACCUGAGAGGGGGAUCGGCCACACUGGAACUGGGACACGGUCCAGACUCCUACGGGAGGCAGCAGUAGGGAAUCUUCCGCAAUGGGCGAAAGCCUGACGGAGCAACGCCGCGUGAGUGAUGAAGGUCUUCGGAUCGUAAAACUCUGUUAUUAGGGAAGAACAAAUGUGUAAGUAACUAUGCACGUCUUGACGGUACCUAAUCAGAAAGCCACGGCUAACUACGUG
rnacentral:rRNA from 1 species